GGGCGAGUAGCUUACCGGAAGCACCAGCUUUAUGAACCGUUCACUCGAUUCGAUAUGCCUGCACGGAGGUUCAAAUCCUCCCUCGUCCA
rfam:Botryobasidium botryosum FD-172 SS1 unplaced genomic scaffold BOTBOscaffold_82, whole genome shotgun sequence.